GACGAGGGGUCCUAGCGUUGUUCGGAAUCACUGGGCGUAAAGAGUUCGUAGGCGGCUCCAAAAGUCGGGUGUGAAAUCCCACGGCUCAACCGUGGAAGUGCAUUCGAAACUGCGGAGCUUGAAUAUGGAAGAGGAGAGUAGAAUUGCUGGUGUAGUGGUGAAAUACGUAGAUAUCAGCAGGAAUACCGGUGGCGAAGGCGGCUCUCUGGUCCAAUAUUGACGCUGAGGAACGAAAGUGCGGGGAUCAAACAGG
rnacentral:rRNA from 1 species